rfam:Daucus carota subsp. sativus cultivar DH1 chromosome 6, whole genome shotgun sequence.
GCUGGGUCUGGUAGCGCAGGCCUGUAACCCAAGUGGGAGCCAUAAGAUGGUUGGAGGUUGGAUUGGGCCAGAAGGUUGGGCUAGCAUGGGGUUAUACACUGGCCUGCCCAUUCCAAGUAGGGAGCAGGGUCAUGGGCUUUGGGCGAAAGCCAGGAGUUCAUUUCCCCUAAAGAGGAGGGCAUUGCGCUAGGCUGGCUUCACAGAGCAGCGAACACUUCCCUCUCCUGUCGGUGGAAGGAUAACAAGUCGGUUCUUCACUAGUCCAUCAAACACCGGAUGGGUCAUUCGACCAUACAACCAUCUUU